UACGGAGGGGGCGAGCGUUAUUCGGAAUUAUUGGGCGUAAAGGGCGCGUAGGCGGCCUUGUAAGUCAAAGGUGAAAUCCCUCGGCUCAACUGAGGAACUGCCUUUGAAACUGCAAGGCUUGAGGCCGGGAGGGGGUAGCGGAAUUCCCAAUGUAGCGGUGAAAUGCGUAGAUAUUGGGAGGAACACCAGUGGCGAAGGCGGCUACCUGGACCGGUUCUGACGCUGAGGCGCGAAGGCCAGGGGAGCAAACGGG
rnacentral:rRNA from 1 species